rnacentral:tRNA from 1 species
UAGGUUGUAAGUUAUUAGACUGUAGGAUUUCAGCACCUAAAGAGGGAAAUUUCUCCCCGGCCUAA